rnacentral:lncRNA from 1 species
ACAUUAGACUUCGAUAGCUAUAGAUAUACAUCGAGUUGGAAAAAACCUGAACUAUGCUCAAAGUCUUUCUCCCUAGCCUUAUAUUAGAAGCCUUGGUGAAUGAUGUAAUUAUUUUUGAAAACCAAUAAAGUGUGCCGAAUGGCUUUCUAAAAAAACUCUAAAAAAUAGGUAAACCACCUUCCUUAAUUUUAAAACCAUUUAUGAUUGAUUUUUUCUAAAUCAUUCAUUUACCUCCCUGACCCAGUUAUAAGUGAUUUUUAAAGGCGGUUUUGUUUUUUUCUUUUUAUUUAUUUCGGCUGAACUUUUGAAAGAUCAUAGUAAAUUGCAGAAAAAUUAUAAAAUGAUAAUAUAAUUUUCUUGGACUCCAUAUGAGUAGAUUUACAUAGUGAAUAUAUAUUAUGAUAUGUUUUAGUAUAAAAUUUUUGUUGUAGCUUCAGAUCUAUGCUUUUUAUAUAAUUAAUUCAUAGUUGCAGUUUUUAUGUUUCAAUUGUGGUGAAAUUCUUAUGGUGUGCUAAUUAUUAUAUGAUUGAACUAUGUUAAAAGUUUUAUUCUCAUUGGAUCAUGUAUAACUGAGAUAGAUUUAUUUAGUUUUUUGCUUGUUAAAUAGUUUUAAAAUAGUUAAAAGUGUGUAAAAUCAGAAAUGAGUAUAGAAACUUUACUACAAUUGAAGCAUACAAUAACUAGACCACCA